rnacentral:lncRNA from 1 species
AAGAGGCGUACACAUGGCCAGGAGUAAUUUGAGUUACCAGAGGAAGCAUGGACCUGUAACUGACAGAGUGAGGAUUGUGCUCCAGAAGUAAAACAUAGUUUCAAAGCAACAGACAGGGAUUCAUAAGGGGCAGAAAAACAGCUCUCCAAAGAUGUCUACAUGAAAAUCCUGACUCUGCGAAUGUAUUACUUUACACAGCAAAAGGAAUUUGGCAGCUGUGAUUUAAUCGAAGAUCAUGAGAUGGAAAGAUUAUUAUCUGUGUGCAUCUAACAUAAUCACAAAGGUCCUUUUAAUGUGAAAGAGGAAGACAGGAGAGUCAGAGGGUCAGAGAAGAUGUGAAUACAGAAGCAGAGGUCACAACGACGUGAGAAAGGCACAUCUGGCUUUGAAGAUAGAGGGGCGAUGUGCCGAGGAAUGCAGGAAGCCUAAAAAGCUGAAAUAAGCAAGAAGUGGAUUCUUUCCUGCUGCUGCCAGAAGGGACAUACCCCUGCAGACACCUUGAUUUUUGCCCCAUAAUACUCUUUUUAGAUUUCUGACUCAUAGAAAUAUAAGAUAAUAAAUUUGCUUUGUUGUAAGCCACUAAGUUAGUGGUAAACGGUAAGUUUGUAAAGCAAUAAGAAAUGAACAGACAUUUAAGAAUAUUAUUUUAAGUCUAUGCUUAGACUUUUCCCAAGAAUAUUUAUGCAAUGGGAUUAUAUUCUAGUUUUAUAACUGAGUUAAUUUAUAUAGCAAUAUAUCAUAAAUGUCUCUUCAAAUUAAUACAUGCACAUCUAUGGUAAUAACUAUGAAUUACUAUGUAGUAUAUUUUAUGUAUAUAUUAUAGUUAUUAAUCAAUCUGAAAUUGUGAGGCCUUUAGUUUUCUUCUUAUAUUUUUGCUAAUAUAUAGAGUGUUUGGGAAAAUAUUUUUAUAUAUGAAACUGUGUCAAUCUAUGGUUUUUUUACUUGUAUUUUCAAAUCUAAUAUUAUUAUUUAGUAUAACAUAAAUUAUUUUGAUGGGAAACUCAUAUUUUCAAUGUUUUAGGUAUAUAACUAGUUUGCCUUCCAAAAAAGGCAAAUUAAUUGCACCAAUUAUUAAUUAGCCCCAUCAGUUUAUAAGAUAGGUGGGAGAAGGGUCUGCCAUUUUUAGUUAUAAUCUAAAACCCCCAAAAAACAGAACAGUAGUUUUUUUCUGAAAAUCAGAUUUCUCACAGAAUGAAAUAAAUUAAAAACUCAUACUUGUUAUAUUCCCUUAAAACAAUAGAAGAAUGAUGUAGAUGGAGUAUAUGUCCUUAUCAUGCAACUCAGAUUAUAUACCUAAAAAUAUGCAACUCAUAGUUAUUUGAAAAAUUAAUAUAGAAACCUAGAUUGAAACCUUUAAAAAGUUGCCAAAAAUCACCAUUUAAAAUUAGUUGAUUUAUUAAAAUUUUGAACAGGAAGUUUAUUCAAUGUAUUUAAGACAAAAAUUAAUGUUGGUAGAUAUUACAUAAAACCUAGAAAUCUAUUUCCCCAUAUUAAAAACGAAUAAUGAAGUAAGAAAAGAGAGAGAGAAAUGACGGGAAAAAAUGAAUACACAAUAGAUAGUUCAAAUGAUUAAAUGGUAAGUGAAAAGGAUUUAAAAAAUAAAAAACAGUGAGGAAAAAUAUUAUCUCCAAUGGCUGUGUCUCAUAGCUUAUUAGUCUCUUAUCAAAUGCACUGUUUUAAAGAAAAUUAUUGCAGUAAUGCUAAUUUCUUUAUAUAUUUUGGACAUGAAAACCUGUAUUAGGAGGCAACAAAAUAAUUUGCACAGUAGUAUGAAUACUGUAUUUGAUAAACAAUAAUUUUUUAAGAUGGGUUUGUAGAGUACCACGGACUAUAUUUCAGAUUUCAAAAGUAGAAGAUAUGAGCAAUUUCUUCUAAUAAAUGUUUACAAAAUGAUCAGGUAAAUAAAUCACCUUUUACAAAUCUAUCAAAUUAAAAAAUUGAAAUCUGGAGAAGUUAGGAGGCUUGCCAAAUAGUUCAAAGAAAGUAUUUUUAUGAGACUCCAACACUAUUGACUUUCAGCUUAACACUUGUUUAUAUCAUGCACAAUAUCAAAUAUAGAGUAUAAGAAGGGAAUAUAAUACAGAAAGUAAUAUAAUCAUUUCAAAAAAAGUGAAGCUGAAUUUUUAAAAAAUAUAAUUCUCCUAUAAUUUUUUAGGUACUUGAAAAUUAUAUUGGCCUAUUUUAUUUAUUUUGUUAGAUAGUGAUGGUGCAAAUACUGGUCUUUAGAAACAGAACAAUGCUCCAAAAUUACCCUAUGCUGCAUAUUGCCAAUAAUAUAACUGUAAGAUAUGUAUUUAGUCUUAAACUAUCUUAUUUAUCACCAAAUACCUACAGCUAACAGCUGAAGGGAACGAUACAAUUCUGAAUAAGCAUGUAUAAAGAAUGCUUAGGGCUUAAGCACAAAC